rnacentral:lncRNA from 1 species
GCCUGACGCAUCUGUCUGAGGAGCGGUCAGUGACGCGAUGGAGCGGGCAAGGGAUCGCUUACACCUGAGACGAACUACAGAACAGCACGUACCAGAGGUGGAAGUCCAAGUCAAACGCAGAAGGACUGCCUCACUGAGCAACCAAGAGUGUCAGUUGUACCCGAGGCGUUCUCAGCAGCAGCAAGUACCUGUGGUGGAUUUCCAGGCUGAACUGAGGCAGGCAUUCUUAGCUGAGACACCAAGAGGUGGUUAAAGCCAUAUUGGAGUAGCGAGGAAUCUGAUUCCAAGCAAAAACCAGGCUCCAUCUACUCUUUGAAGCUUCUGCCCAGCUUGCAUUGUUUCUAGGAGAACCUGCGUCAUACCUUUAUCUAUAGCCUUCCCCUAGGUCUUCAGAAGCAUCAAGUUUUAACUGUGGACAUUGGAUUUGGUGGAACAGCAAUCAUGCAUACUGUUGAUCCAUCUCAGUCACUUUUUCCCCUGCAAUGCGUCUUGUGAAAUUGUGUAGAGUGUUUGUGAGCUUUUUGUUCCCUCAUUCUGCAUUAAUAAUAGCUAAUAAUAAAUGCAUAGAGCAAU